AACCUUUAGCCAAACAAAUAUUAAAGGCAACGCCUGCCCAGUGAACAAUUAAACGGCCGCGGUACCCUAACCGUGCAAAGGUAGCAUAAUCAUUUGUCUACUAAUUAUAGACCUGUAUGAAAGGCAAAAUGAGGGUCCAACUGUCUCUUAUAACAAAUCAAUUAAACUGAUCUCCUAGUAAAAAAGCUAGAAUAAUAACAUAAGACGAGAAGACCCUGUGAAGCUUAAACCAAACUAUUAAAACACAUAAUAGCUGCUUUCGGUUGGGGCGACCUUGGAAAAAAAAAGAACUUCCAAACACCAUGACUUUACCUCAUACCACAUAAACCAGGCCAACAAGCCAAAAAAUGACCCAGCAUCGCUGACAAUUGAACAAAGUUACUCCAGGGAUAACAGCGCAAUCUUCUUCAAGAGCCCAUAUCAAAAAGAAGGUUUACGACCUCGAUGUUGGAUCAGGACAUCCUAAUGGUGCAGCCGCUAUUAAGGGCUCGUUUGUUCAACGAUUAAUAGUCCU
rnacentral:rRNA from 1 species